rnacentral:rRNA from 1 species
AGAGUUUGAUCCUGGCUCAGAAUCAACGCUGGCGGCGUGCCUAACACAUGCAAGUCGAACGCGAAAGCCCCGGCAAGGGGUAAGUAGAGUGGCAAACGGGUGAGUAACACGUGGGUGACCUGCCUUAGAGUGGGGGAUAACGUCCCGAAAGGGACGCUAAUACCGCAUAACAUCCUGCCUUUGAAGAGGUGGAGAUCAAAGCCGGGGACCGCAAGGCCUGGCGCUUAAAGAGGGGCCCGCGCCUGAUUAGCUAGUUGGUGAGGUAAUGGCUCACCAAGGCAACGAUCAGUAUCCGGCCUGAGAGGGCGGACGGACACACUGGGACUAAGACACGGCCCAGACUCCUACGGGAGGCAGCAGUGGGGAAUUGUUCGCAAUGGGCGCAAGCCUGACGACGCAACGCCGCGUGGAGGAUGAAGACCUUCGGGUCGUAAACUCCUUUCGAUCGAGACGAACAGCCAUCGGGUGAAUAAUCCGGAGGUUUGACGGUACCGAGAGAAGAAGCCCCGGCUAACUCCGUGCCAGCAGCCGCGGUAAUACGGGGGGGGCAAGCGUUGUUCGGAAUUACUGGGCGUAAGGGCUCGUANGUUGCCAACUAAGUCAGACGUGAAAUCCCUCGGCUUNACCGGGGAACUGCGUCUGAUACUGGAUGGCUUGAGUUCGGGAGAGGGAUGCGGAAUUCCAGG